CUACGGGCGGCAGCAGUGGGGAAUAUUGCACAAUGGGCGAAAGCCUGAUCCAGCAACACCGCGUGCACGAUGACGGCCUUCGGGUUGUAAAGUGCUUUUAGAGGAGAUGAGAAAGGACAGUAUCCUCUGAAUAAGCCUCGGCGAACUACGUGCCAGCAGCCGCGGUAAAACGUAGGAGGCAAGCGUUAUCCGGAUUUAUUGGGCGUAAAGCGCGUGCAGGCGGUCUAGCAAGUUGGAUGUGAAAGCUCCCGGCUCAACUGGGAGAGGUCGUUCAAUACUGUUAGACUAGAGAAUAGGAGAGGGAGGUGGAAUUCCGGGUGUAGUGGUGAAAUGCGUAGAUAUCCGGAGGAACACCAGUGGCGAAAGCGGCCUCCUGGACUAUUUCUGACGCUAAGACGCGAAAGCUAGGGUAGCAAACGGGAUUAGAUACCCCAGUAGUC
rnacentral:rRNA from 1 species